rnacentral:misc_RNA from 1 species
ACCCUUUCCAGCACUAGAAUACCACAAGGCAAUUUGCAGAAGCUACAUCAAUCUUCCCACUGCUGUCCAACCUCAACUAGUGUCAAACACCAAUAUUAAGGUGGGAAUCCUUUCAAUUUAAUGACUCUUAUUGACUUCAAUAAUAAUAUAUCAACCAAGUCUUACACAAUGUUCUAAAGAAGUUCACAUAAUUAUAUAUGUGAACCGCAUAAGGCAAACAAAAUAGAAAAUCCCACAAAUUAACUAGGAUGGAAGCUGUGGAGUUCUGAAGCCUUAAUUCUUUCAAACUAGAAGGAGAUGCACCCUUUCCAAAGCAACAUCACUUAGAAUAACAAUGUAUUUUGCCACUUGUAAUAGAGAGGACAAAUUUUCUUCACUGCUUUCAAUCACCAUAAUCGAGAACUAUGACAUGGUAAGGCUCAACGGGGUAAAAAAAUAGAGAAAUUUAAAAUUGAAGAAUAAAGUUUGCAAUAAUAAUUAUAUACACUUCUAGAAAGACAAGGAAAGAAAAUGUUCUAUUUUCUGUCACUUGUCCAGAUAUAUAUCCUUUAAGCUCUUCACAAAGAUCUGAUUUCUAGAUUUCUUGUUGAGGGAAAUUCCUUUUAUUGAAAUUUUCAUGUUCCAAGAAAUUUAAAUUACAGGGAAAAAUGUUCUCACUUUGUUCUUAAUGUCAUGAAUUUUAUUUUAUUAUCUAGUGUAUUACACAACUUUUGGAGAAUUAUGGCAUACUAUCUUGCAAAUGUCUCUAUUUUGCCUAAUGCAUCACCAUUUCAUUAGGAAAGCUAAAAUUUCUUAUGAAGUCAACGCUUUUUUUAGGUUAAUGGUUCCCAGUUGAAUCAAAACCAAUAACUUGUACAAAUGAGGCAGCCUUCCAAAGCGUUGACUCCCAAUGUUUCCAACUUUAUGUUAUGAACUACUGUAGUAGGAAGUAAAACAAUUAUCUUUUCUUCUAUGCCGUUUUGCCUCUUGGACUAUUUGAAACAGACUCUUUGAUUUUUCUGGUGAAAAAUAGGUAUGCCUGCAAAUUAGGUCCGAAAAAGAAGACGGGUUUUUUUUUUUUUUUUUUUUU